rnacentral:rRNA from 1 species
GUCUACAGCCACGCCACCCUGAACACGCCCGAUCCCAUCUGAUCUCGGAAGCUAAGCAGGGUCAGGCCCGGUUAGUACUCGGAUGAGAGACCACCUAGGAAGACUGGGAGCUGUGGACA